UCUGAUUCCCACCAACUCCCAAAAUACAUUGGUUGGGUGCUCCUUCCCCCCUUUAACCUCCUUAUGCUGGAGAGAGAAAAUUUUGCAGAAUCAUGGGUGUUUCAUUGAAGUGCUAACAGGCCCUACUAAGAAAAAUUGAGGAACUAACCAUUAGAAGGAGUCACCAAAUCUGAAAGAGAGAUAAAAGGUGGAAAGAAGAAAGAGCAAGCAGAAUACUCUGCAGAAGAGGACAGACCACAUUGAGGAGGAGAUCCAAGAACUUCGAGGUCACCCACCCUUCGGCCUUUCCUGGAGUGUGAGAGAAGUCGGGACACUAUGAACUCUGCUGAAGGAUGAUGCUUCCCUCCCAUUCAGGUUCCUUUAAGGGCAUAUCUCAUGUCCAUUUUAGUUUUCAACUGUGGACUUCAGCUGGCUGUUAACUACUAUAACCCUACCCAGAUCCGAGGCAGUUGAAGAAAGGGAAUUCUUUCUUCAGGAAAAGUUUGAACAUGGGCUUAAAAAACAAACAAACCCUAAAUUCUAUAACUCCACCAUCCAAAUGUACAAGAAAGCAUUUCAUUAUAGAUCCAUCUUAGAAAUGUUUCUAUUCUUUUUUUUCCCCCUCAAAAUUAUCCAGGUUUUUCUUCUGAGCUUUCUUUUUUUUCCCCCUUAUUUAAAGCUUUUUAUUUUUCUAAACAUAUGCAUGAACAAUUCUUCAACAUUAGCCCUUACAAAACCUUGUGUUCCAAUUUUUCCCUCUUUCCCCACUCCUUCUCCUAGAUGGCAAGUAGUCCAAUAUAUGUUAAACUUGGUAGAAAUAUGUUAAGAAAUAUGCAUACAUAUUUAUACAAUUAUCUUAUUGCACAAGAAAAAUCAAAUCAAACCAGAAAAAAAAGAGAAACAAAAUAAAAUGAAAGCAUACAACAAAAAGAGUGAAAAUGCUAUGUUGUGAUCUACACUCAGUCCCCACAGGCCUUUUUCUGGGUGUAGAUGGCUCUCUUCACCAAAAGAUCAUUAGAACUGGCCUGAAUCGUCUCAUUAUUGAGACCAUCAGAAUUGAUCAUCAUAUAAUUUUGCUGUUGCCAUAUACAAUGAUCUCUGGGUUCUGCUCCUUUCACUCAGCAUCAGUUCCUGUAAGUCUCCCCAGGUCUCUCUGAAAUCAUCCUGCUGCAGAACAAUAAUAUUCCAUAAACAUUCAUACACCAUAACUUAUUCAGCCAUUCUCCAACUGAUGGGCAUCCACUCAGUUUCCAGUCUCUUGCCACUACAAAAAAAGGUGCCAUA